rnacentral:lncRNA from 1 species
UAGGGAGUAGCUGAGCUGGUCAGCCCACUGGCUCUCCUUCAUCCACACCACCAGGGUGAGCUCUCCAACACUGCUCUGGCUGAGCCACCCAAGUAUGGCCAUCAGCAGGAGUCAGAGUCAGCCCUCCUGGUGGCUCACCCACACCCAUGCCUCCAGAGCCAGCUCUCCUGUGCUGCCUAGAGUGUGGUGCCCACUCUCCCAAGUGCUGCAGUCUGUGAGGGGCAGGGCUGGUUCUCCAGCUCUCACACCCUCACGGAGGACAUCACCCCCGCACCCCCGCCACCUCAUGGCAGACACUGGCAGAUUGCCUUUUUAACCAUCACAAAUAUAAGAAUAAA